UACGUAGGGCGCAAGCGUUGUCCGGAAUUAUUGGGCGUAAAGAGUUCGUAGGCGGCCUGUUACGUCUGCUGUGAAAUCCCGGGGCUUAACCCCGGGCGUGCAGUGGAUACGGGCAGGCUGGAGGCAGGCAGGGGAGAACGGAAUUCCCGGUGUAGCGGUGAAAUGCGCAGAUAUCGGGAGGAACACCGGUGGCGAAGGCGGUUCUCUGGGCCUGUACUGACGCUGAGGAGCGAAAGCGUGGGGAGCGAACAGG
rnacentral:rRNA from 1 species